UACAGAGGCCUCGAGCGUUAGGCGGAAUCACUGGGCUUAAAGCGUGUGUAGGCGGACUUCUAAGUACCUUGUGAAGUCCCACGGCUUACCCGUGGAACGGCUGGGUAUACUGGGAGUCUUGAGCCACCUAGGGGCGAGUGGAACAAAUGGUGGAGCGGUGAAAUGCGUAGAUAUCAUUUGGAACGCCAAUGGUGAAAACAACUCGCUGGGGGUGUGCUGACGCUGAGACACGAAAGCCAGGGGAGCGAACGGG
rnacentral:rRNA from 1 species